rnacentral:rRNA from 1 species
UACGUAGGGGGCAAGCGUUGCCCGGAAUCAUUGGGCGUAAAGAGCGUGUAGGCGGCCCGGUAAGUCCGCUGUGAAAGUCAAAGGCUCAACCUUUGAAUGUCAGCGGAUACUGCCGGGCUAGAGUCCGGAAGAGGCGAGUGGAAUUCCUGGUGUAGCGGUGGAAUGCGCAGAUAUCAGGAGGAACACCAACGGCGAAGGCAGCUCGCUAGGACGGUACUGACGCUGAGACGCGAAAGCGUGGGGAGCGAACAGG